rnacentral:rRNA from 2 species
ACAGAUGAACGCUGGCGGCAUGCCUUACACAUGCAAGUCGAACGGCAGCAUGAUCUAGCUUGCUAGAUUGAUGGCGAGUGGCGAACGGGUGAGUAAUACAUCGGAACGUGCCCUGUAGUGGGGGAUAACUAGUCGAAAGAUUAGCUAAUACCGCAUACGACCUGAGGGUGAAAGUGGGGGACCGCAAGGCCUCAUGCUAUAGGAGCGGCCGAUGUCUGAUUAGCUAGUUGGUGGGGUAAAGGCCCACCAAGGCGACGAUCAGUAGCUGGUCUGAGAGGACGAUCAGCCACACUGGGACUGAGACACGGCCCAGACUCCUACGGGAGGCAGCAGUGGGGAAUUUUGGACAAUGGGCGAAAGCCUGAUCCAGCAAUGCCGCGUGUGUGAAGAAGGCCUUCGGGUUGUAAAGCACUUUUGUCCGGAAAGAAAUGGCUCUGGUUAAUACCUGGGGUCGAUGACGGUACCGGAAGAAUAAGGACCGGCUAACUACGUGCCAGCAGCCGCGGUAAUACGUAGGGUCCAAGCGUUAAUCGGAAUUACUGGGCGUAAAGCGUGCGCAGGCGGUUGUGCAAGACCGAUGUGAAAUCCCCGAGCUUAACUUGGGAAUUGCAUUGGUGACUGCACGGCUAGAGUGUGUCAGAGGGGGGUAGAAUUCCACGUGUAGCAGUGAAAUGCGUAGAGAUGUGGAGGAAUACCGAUGGCGAAGGCAGCCCCCUGGGAUAACACUGACGCUCAUGCACGAAAGCGUGGGGAGCAAACAGGAUUAGAUACCCUGGUAGUCCACGCCCUAAACGAUGUCAACUAGUUGUUGGGGAUUCAUUUCCUUAGUAACGUAGCUAACGCGUGAAGUGACCGCCUGGAGACGCCACUGC